GGACAAUAAAAUUAUCAGUUUAUAUAACAUAAUUUCUUUUAUAUGUAUUGUAAUACUAUAUCAACUUUUACUUCAAGGGUCCAAACCCUUAAACCAAUUCUAAACUUUCCUUAUCCCUAAAUCUUACAGUAACCCAUAUAAUGUACUUGCUCUUACAAGCAUUGACCUGACACCUAAUCAUAACCAUAAAUGAACUUUAACCCUAAAACAUAAGGACCAUGGGCUCCCUCCUUUUAAGGGAAAAAAAAUUUUGCUUAUAUAGGGAAUCAGUGGAGCAUAACUGGAGCUUAGGUCAGUCAAUGCCCCCCCUCCUCCUUAUAAAAAGUUCUGGAUCCGCCACUGCCUUAGGUAAUAAAAUACAGAAAAAAAUAGCACAUUUAUAUGUUAGUGUAGACAUAUUUUAAUAGUUAAAUCCAGGUUAAGUAAUGUACACAAAUUAGCAUUAAUACAAGUGAAUAAUUUAUAGGAUCCAGAAACAAGCUAUUAACUUAUAUUAA
rnacentral:lncRNA from 1 species